UAGGGAAUCUUCGGCAAUGGGGGGAACCCUGACCGAGCAACGCCGCGUGUGUGAAGAAGGUUUUCGGAUCGUAAAGCUCUGUUGUUAAGGAAGAACGAGUGUGAGAAUGGAAAGUUCAUGCUGUGACGGUACUUAACCAGAAAGGGACGGCUAACUACGUGCCAGCAGCCGCGGUAAUACGUAGGUCCCGAGCGUUGUCCGGAUUUAUUGGGCGUAAAGCGAGCGCAGGCGGUUAGAUAAGUCUGAAGUUAAAGGCAGUGGCUCAACCAUUGUAGGCUUUGGAAACUGUUUAACUUGAGUGCAGAAGGGGAGAGUGGAAUUCCAUGUGUAGCGGUGAAAUGCGUAGAUAUAUGGAGGAACACCGGUGGCGAAAGCGGCUCUCUGGUCUGUAACUGACGCUGAGGCUCGAAAGCGUGGGGAGCGAACAGG
rnacentral:rRNA from 1 species